GACGAAGGGGGCUAGCGUUGUUCGGAAUCACUGGGCGUAAAGGGCGCGUAGGCGGCCAUUCAAGUCGGAGGUGAAAGGCCAGGGCUCAACCCUGGAAUUGCCUUCGAUACUGUCUGGCUAGAGACCGGAAGAGGUAAGUGGAACUGCGAGUGUAGAGGUGAAAUUCGUAGAUAUUCGCAAGAACACCAGUGGCGAAGGCGGCUUACUGGUCCGGUACUGACGCUGAGGUGCGAAAGCGUGGGGAGCAAACAGG
rnacentral:rRNA from 1 species